rnacentral:lncRNA from 1 species
GAUGGAACGGCCUUUUGAAGUCACAAUUACAAUGCCAACUAGGUAACAAUACUUUGCAGACCUGGGGUAAAGUUCUCCAGAAGACUGUGUAUGCUCUGAAUCAGCAUCCCAUAUAUGGCACUGUUUCUCCCAUAGCCAGGACUCACGGCUCCAGGAUUAAAGGGAUGGAAGUGGAAGUGACACCACUCACCAUCAUCCCCAGUGAUCUACUAGCAAAAUUUUUGCUUCCUGUUUCCAUGACAUUACAUUCUGCUGGCCUAGAGUUCUUAGUUCCAGAAGGAGAAUGCUGCCACCAGGAGACACAACAAUGAUUCUGUUAAGCUGGAAGUUAAGAUUGCCACCUGGAAACUUUGGGCUCCUCUUACCUUUAAGGCAACAGGCUAAGAAAGGAGUUACAGUGUUAUCUGGGGUGAUUGACCAGGACUGUGAAGAUGAAAUCAGUCUACUACUCCACAACGGAGUGAUCAUUCAACACCUGACCUAGAGGAAUUCAGAAUUCAGCGGGGGUACAUUCUCAGCUGAUGGAGAUGGUCAAGGGGUUACCGCCAGUCUGUUUCUUGCGCUGAUAAUUUUUCUAGACAUUAAAUCUCACCAUUUGUUCCCAACAAAGAAAGAAAGACAGGACCACCAGACUCUACAGGGUGAUCUGACACUAACAACUUAACAACCAUUCUACUGAGUCAACAAAUUUCUCCUCUGUGUACAGACUUCAACCGAAGAAUCUAAUACUACUGUGAAGUGCUGCUGGGCAGGACACACGUUCAGGAGACACAGUAGGGGAACAGAUGAGGCCAGAGUGGCCCACAGCCGGGGUGAAGAGCCCCCAAUUAUUUAUAAAGUGUUUGCUGCCUCAUUUAUGAAAAUAAAUAGUGCAAAGCUGUUACAAGUAUUACAUUUUUACAUCAAAUUAAACAUUUCAAAAUUAGUGUCACAGCUUCUCCUGGGAGCAACUUUUGAGGGGC